rnacentral:tRNA from 1 species
GGCAAGGUGGCCGAGCGGUCUAAGGCGCCACGUUAAGGUUUACCCUUAAUCCUCUUCUCCCUGAGAAUCCGUGGUCCGAAAGGGCGUGAGUUCGAAUCUCACCCUUGUCA